rnacentral:misc_RNA from 1 species
GGGAGUUACCUGCUUCUCUUAAAGAUUUGGUUAUUGACUGUUCCUUAUCUAGCGGAGGAAUAAGUGCAGGGUUAGAGUCAAUAGCUGAAAGGUUCAACAGCACCACAUCUCUUGAGUCUAUUAAAAUUGGAUAUCUUCUUAAUCUUAAAUCUUUACCCGAGAGCCUCCACAUGCUCGCCAGUCUCCACAACAUUUGGAUAUACAACUGUCCAAGUCUUGUAUCUUUCCCGCAGGGAGGUUUGCCCACCUUGCGUCUGAAAAGCCUUACUGUUGAUGACUGCGAGAAACUCGAGGUCCUUCCUGAUAACAUGC